GAAUCAUCUGAAAAUGGAAACACUUUUACCUUCAAUCAAAAGCUAGAAUCAUUACAUAAGAUGUCAUUCCCUUACCAAGAAUCCAGACAAUCCUUGCAAAAGAUUAAAUGUUUUGGUUACUGAUGUAGUUCUCUGGUAUGCUAAGCUCGUAUGAUUUUGCAGGACGCGGGCUAGCUUGGCUUUCGUUCUUUUUCUACAAUUGGGUGAAACACAGCUGGGAUUGAUUGCUAUCAAUUCAGAGCUCCUCUUGGCGACUGAUGGGUCCAUUGACAUAGGCAUAUCUCAUGUCAUGUCUUGGUCAAUUUGGAUUUGGGCUGCGGUUUUGAUUCUUCAAAGCUCAGAAGAUGCUUGUCUUGCUGGAGGAGCUUUGGUAUUUUCUGUCUCAACUUUACUAAAGAUGAUCACCAUAUUGAUUUUCUCACAGUCUUUACGCAGGUAAGUGACAUUCAUUUGAUCAUGCAUCUAAUAAGCUAUAUUCUCUGAAAUAUCACAUAUGCAAUGGACUUAUUUUUUUCGUGUGCAUGACUUUGAUGGUCAAACUGCUAAUCAUGAGGGAUGAAAUUAGAGAUGAUGUAAGACCAUCUGUCUGGUAUUGUAUCAUCUUCUACAUUUACUUUCAGAGAGGAAAUGAGGAAUUUGAAAGAAGCUAUGGAAGAAUAUAAAGCAAAAAGGAAGGAAGAUCGAAACAAAGGAAGAUGAGGAAUAGAUUAGAAAUGCAAAGGAGGAUGGAGAACCGAGCAUUGGCGCUAAACUAAACUUUAUCACUCUCUUGUGUAAUCAGGU